ACGAACGCUGGCGGCGUGCUUAACACAUGCAAGUCGAACGGAAAGGCCCUGCUUUUGUGGGGUGCUCGAGUGGCGAACGGGUGAGUAACACGUGAGUAACCUGCCCUUGACUUUGGGAUAACUUCAGGAAACUGGGGCUAAUACCGGAUAGGAGCUCCUGCUGCAUGGUGGGGGUUGGAAAGUUUCGGCGGUUGGGGAUUGACUCGCGGCUUAUCAGCUUGUUGGUGGGGUAGUGGCUUACCAAGGCUUUGACGGGUAGCCGGCCUGAGAGGGUGACCGGCCAAAUUGGGACUGAGAUACGGCCCAGACUCCUACGGGAGGCAGCAGUGGGGAAUAUUGCACAAUGGGCGGAAGCCUGAUGCAGCAACGCCGCGUGCGGGAUGACGGCCUUCGGGUUGUAAACCGCUUUCGCCUGUGACGAAGCGUGAGUGACGGUAAUGGGUAAAGAAGCACCGGCUAACUACGUG
rnacentral:rRNA from 1 species